GACGAACGCUGGCGGCGUGCCUAAUACAUGCAAGUCGAACGCAGUGGGGACGGGUGAGUCACACGUGGGUAACCUCCCAUCAGAGGGGAUAACACUUGGAAACAGGUGCUAAACCGCUACUGAUGGAUGGACCCGCGGUGCAUUGGCUAGUUGGUGAGGUAACGGCCCACCAAGGCCACGAUGCAUAGCCGACCUGCGAGGAUGUUCGGCCCCCCGGGGACUGAGACCGGGCCCAGACUCAUACGGGAGGCAGCAGGAGGGAAUCUUCGGCAAUGGACGAAAGUCUGACCGAGCAACGCCGCGUGAGUGAAGAAGGUGUUCGGAUCGUAAAACUCUGUUGUUAGGGAAGCGGUAACUAACCAGAAAGCCACGGCUAACUACGUGCCAGCAGCCGCGGUAAUAC
rnacentral:rRNA from 1 species